rnacentral:rRNA from 1 species
GAAAUUGAACUCGCUGUGAAGAUGCAGUGUACCCGCGGCAAGACGGAAAGACCCCGUGAACCUUUACUAUAGCUUGACACUGAACAUUGAGCCUUGAUGUGUAGGAUAGGUGGGAGGCUUUGAAGCGUGGACGCCAGUCUGCGUGGAGCCGACCUUGAAAUACCACCCUUUAAUGUUUGAUGUUCUAACGUGGACCCGUAAUCCGGGUUGCGGACAGUGUCUGGUGGGUAGUUUGACUGGGGCGGUCUCCUCCUAAAGAGUAACGGAGGAGCACGAAGGUUGGCUAAUCCUGGUCGGACAUCAGGAGGUUAGUGCAAUGGCAUAAGCCAGCUUGACUGCGAGCGUGACGGCGCGAGCAGGUGCGAAAGCAGGUCAUAGUGAUCCGGUGGUUCUGAAUGGAAGGGCCAUCGCUCAACGGAUAAAAGGUACUCCGGGGAUAACAGGCUGAUACCGCCCAAGAGUUCAUAUCGACGGCGGUGUUUGGCACCUCGAUGUCGGCUCAUCACAUCCUGGGGCUGAAGUAGGUCCCAAGGGUAUGGCUGUUCGCCAUUUAAAGUGGUACGCGAGCUGGGUUUAGAACGUCGUGAGACAGUUCGGUCCCUAUCUGCCGUGGGCGCUGGAGAACUGAGGGGGGCUGCUCCUAGUACGAGAGGACCGGAGUGGACGCAUCACUGGUGUUCGGGUUGUCAUGCCAAUGGCACUGCCCGGUAGCUAAAUGCGGAAGAGAUAAGUGCUGAAAGCAUCUAAGCACGAAACUUGCCCCGA